UAAUGGCCUGUUGGGCGUAAAUGAAGUAUAUUAUGUUGAAGUGAAUAAACCAGGUGGUAGUUUAUUAUAAACCCAGUUGGUAGGUCAGGUGGUAGUUUAUUAUAAACCCAGUUGGUAGGUCAGGUGGUAGUUUAUUAUAAACCCAGUUGGUAGGUCAGGUGUAGUUUAUUAUAAACCCAGUUGGUAGGUCAGGUAGUAGGUCAGGUGGUAGUUUAUUAGAAACCCAGUUGGUAGGUCAGGUGGUAGGUCAGGUGGUAGUUUAUUAUAAACCCAGUUGGUAGGUCAGGUGGUAGGUCAGGUGGUAGUUUAUUAUAAACCCAGUUGGUAGGUCAGGUGGUAGUUUAUUAUAAACCCAGUUGGUAGGUCAGGUGUAGUUUAUUAUAAACCCAGUUGGUAGGUCAGGUGGUAGGUCAGGUGGUAGUUUAUUAGAAACCCAGUUGGUAGGUCAGGUGGUAGUUUAUUAUAAACCCAGUUGGUAGGUCAGGUGGUAGUUUAUUAUAAACCCAGUUGGUAGGUCAGGUAGUAGGUCAGGUGGUAGUUUAUUAGAAACCCAGUUGGUAGGUCAGGUGGUAGGUCAGGUGGUAGUUUAUUAUAAACCCAGUUGGUAGGUCAGGUGGUAGGUCAGGUGGUAGUUUAUUAUAAACCCAGUUGGUAGGUCAGGUGGUAGUUUAUUAUAAACCCAGUUGGUAGGUCAGGUGUAGUUUAUUAUAAACCCAGUUGGUAGGUCAGGUGGUAGUUUAUUAUAAACCCAGUUGGUAGGUCAGGUGGUAGGUCAGGUGGUAGUUAUUAUAAACCCAGUUGGUAGGUCAGGUGGUAGUUUAUUAUAAACCCAGUUGGUAGGUCAGGUGGUAGGUCAGGUGGUAGUUAUUAUAAACCCAGUUGGUAGGUCAGGUGGUAGUUUAUUAUAAACCCAGUUGGUAGGUCAGGUGGUAGUUUAUUAUAAACCCAGUUGGUAGGUCAGUUGGUAGAUUAUUAUAAACCCAGUUGGUAGGUCAGGUGGUAGAUUAUUAUAAACCCAGUUGGUAGGUCAGGUGGUAGUUUAUUAUAAACCCAGUCGGUAGGUCAGGUGGUAGAUUAUUAUAAACCCAGUUGGUAGAUUAUUAUAAACCCAGUCGGUAGGUCAGGUGGUAGGUCAGGUGGUAGUUUAUUAUAAACCCAGUCGGUAGGUCAGGUGGUAGAUUAUUAUAAACCCAGUCGGUAGGUCAGGUGGUAGGUCAGGUGGUAGUUUAUUAUAAACCCAGUCGGUAGGUCAGGUGGUAGUUUAUUAUAAACCCAGUCGGUAGGUCAGGUGGUAGUUUAUUAUAAACCCAGUUGGUAGGUCAGGUUGUAGGUCAGGUGGUAGUUUAUUAUAAACCCAGUCGGUAGGUCAGGUGGUAGGUCAGGUGGUAGUUUAUUAUAAACCCAGUCGGUAGGUCAGGUGGUAGGUCAUAGCUGUGCUGGGUUUAGGAGUAACCCCUGUAGUCUCUGCUCUGUUAGCAACACAUGGAGUAAGAUAAUUCAACGUGCAACAAUUUCCCCAAAGAGUUUAAACUGCAAACAUUUUCAUUCUUCCUCUUUUCUUCAUCAGCGUCUUCGUCAUCAUCAUCUCACAUUUCAUUGCCAUCAUAGAGUCAGUGAUGACAUUUUGGUGUAUAUAUAUAUAUAUAUAUAUAU